rnacentral:rRNA from 1 species
AUGGCUAGGCAGACGCCCAGGUGCUACCCGCAACUCCUCCAAACCGACUUCCCCGGCACGGAGGAGCCCGGCGUUCCCAUGGACAUGCGGCAUGGGCUGGAUCCGGAGACGCUGGACCCCUACAAAAACAUGGUGCUCAAAUUCAUCUACUCCUUCCUCCUCAAGUCCCCCGUCUCCACCGCCGCCUCCCUCUCCUGCACCACCGCGGAUGACGGCGACGGCGUCGACCGCUUCAGCCUUCUCCCCGACGAUCUCCUCCGCCGCGUCGUCUCCCGCCUCCCCGCCAAGGACGGCGCGCGCACCGCCGUGCUCUCCUCGCGCUGGCGCCACCUUUGGCGCUCCACCCCGCUCGUCCUCGUCGACACCCACCUCCUCCCCGCGGCGUGCGCCGGGGCCGUCUCUCGCGCCGUCACCGGCGCCGUCUCCGCAGCCCUCGAGGCGCACCCGGGGAGCUUCACCUUCGUCAGCCUCACCUGCAGCUUCCUGGAACGCGCCGACCGCGGCGUGCUCGCGCGCUGGGUCCAGCUCCUCGCCACCAAGGGCGUCAGCGAGCUCGUCCUCAUCAACCGCCCGUGGCCCCUCCCCCGUGGCGUGUGCCUCCCAGUCGCGCUCUUCAGCUGCGCCUCUCUCACCCGCCUCUACCUCGGCGCCUGGCUGUUUCCGGACACCGCCAGCCUCCCGCGCGGCGCUGCUUUCCCGAAUCUGCGUGAGCUCGUCCUCGGGUGCGUCAUCAUGACGGACAAGGAUCUCGACUUCGUGCUCGCCGCGAGCCCCGUGCUGGAGAUACUCGCGGUCGUUGGAAACCAGACCGAACUGCACGCUCGUCUUGCCAGUCAGAGCCUACGGUGCGCGCAAUUCUGCGUGUCCAACGUGGAGGAGGUCGCCGUGGUGGACGCCCCACUCCUUGAGCGUCUCUUCAUCUGGCACACCUCAAGGGCCAGGAGCAGAACAAGUGCUAGAGUCAAGAUUGGCCAUGCUCCACAGCUGCGUUUGCUGGGAUACCUACGACCAGGAGGGCAGGUGCUGGAGAUUGGCAACACCACCAUCAAGUCUGGGGAAACUCAUGAACCCACUGGCAAUCUCCGUCUCAAGUUCUGGCAGGAGAAUGGUAUGAUUGAGUGCGUCCGAUCACGCCUCAAAAGUAUUGUUUUCCGUGAGUACCAUGGGCAUCAGAAUGAGUUUGCCUGUCUCAUGUUCAUUGCCGAGAAUGCAAAGGUGCUGGAGCGGAUGGUGGUUGAGUUGAAGUUUGGAAGGUAUGAUGUGCCUCUACAGAUCGCUAUCAAGAUGAAAGCUCUGGAGGGUGCCAAAUGGGCCAGUGGAGGCCAUAAAUUGCAACUCACCUUCAGUAAAUUUCCUACUGCAUGGAGCCUCACGAGAGGAUCCGACUUCUCAUGUGAUGACCCUUUCCUCUGCCUCUGCUAUAUGCCAACCUAUUUCGAAAUGCGAGACAGCUCUGGCCAGUUCAAGCCCCUGGGUUAUCUUUAG